AGGCAAGAAUUGCCGAGGACAUCGGUGUCGUUUGCUCGGGGAGCAGGCGGAUCAGGCUGGUGAAUGGGCCGGGUCGCUGUGCCGGGAGAGUGGAGAUUUAUUACAAUGGCACCUGGGGGACAGUCUGUGACGAUUCCUGGGACCUGCCAGACGCCGAUGUCGUUUGCAAACAGCUGGGAUGUGGACACGCCCUCAAUGCAACUGUCUCUGCUCAUUACGGGCAAGGGUCCGGGCAGAUCUGGCUGGACGAUGUGAAGUGCUCUGGGAACGAAUCCGAUCUCUGGGCCUGUCCUUUCGCACCCUGGGGCCAGCACAACUGCAGACACAAGGAGGACGCGGGAGUUCUCUGCUCAGAGUUCACAGACCUGCGGCUGG